rnacentral:lncRNA from 1 species
CAGCUUUGGUAAUUUGGAGCAAGCUGUACUUAAAAUUUUAUAUCCACAUUUCCAAAUCCACACAAUAGGUAUGCUGGUCUCUGUACCACAGGGGACUGUAAGGAUCAAUAAAGUCUGUAUAAUACAAAGUCCUUUGAAGUGAAGCUUACAGUAUUAGAUUUAGCUUGUUAGUGUGAUCUGGAAUCUAAUGGAAUUAUCAUCACCUAAACCUGUUAAGAAAGGUCCUGUGCAUCCGAAUUCAACAGUUCCCAUCUGUGCUAGGAAGGCUGCAAACAAAACGGCAGCUGAGUUUUGAGACAAGGCUCUGGCCCGAAGCUCUUCCCAGGAGAGGGGACAGACAGGAGAGCUGUAAACAGCCUUCGCCACUCACUCUCAGGUCUCAAAAUAACUUGUCUGCCUCCACCCUGCCCAGCUGGCAGAGCUGCAGGCUGAGUAAACUGCCAUUUAAAGAUAACCUGGCACUCUCCACACACCCUACUGCCUGGGCCAGCUCCUAAGAGCAGACUGAGGCUGCCUAAGAAGGCGGCCGC